CAGUCAUAAAGAAUUAGAUGUGGAAGCUGAAAAACACAAUGAAUGAAAGAGAAAGAAGAAGGAAGAAAGUUGACUUAGAGGCAAAAAAGGGAUUACUAGGGACUAGGAAAGGUUCCAGGAUGUGAUGUGAUGUGAUGUGUGUGUGUGUGUGUGUGUGUGUGUGUGUGUGUGUGUGUGUGUGUAUGGUGUGUGUAUGGUGUGUGUGGUAUGUGUGUGUGUAUGGUGUAUGUGGUAUGUAUAUGUGUGUAUGAUGUGUGUGUGUGGUGUGUAGUGUGUGUGUACUGAGUGUUGUUUAGAUGAAGAGUGGAUGGACACAGCCCCCGCACAAUGUAUGUCCGUAUGGAAGUCUCACUGGGAAUCCCAUUUGUCAGUACAAUUAAGAAUGUCUGCAAGGAGGUGGUUCAUUUUGAUCUCCAAGUUGACAGCAUGUCGAGUCACCUGGAGACCAAGCUCUGGGUGUUCCUUUGAAGGCUUUCCUAGAACCAGUUAACUGAGGUAGGAAGGCCCACCAGGAACGUGGGCAGCACCAUCUCCUAGUCUGGGGUCCCAGACUGACUUGGGAAGAGAAAGCAGGCUGGGUACAACUUGAUCUCUCUCUGCUUCCUGACAGCAGAUGCAGUGCGGCCAGCCGUCCCACACUCCUGCCAUGGCGCCUUCCCCGCCAUGAUGGACUCUAACCUCCCACCCUGAGCCAACAGAAACCCUUCCUUCCUUAAGUGGCUUCUACCCCUGGAUAUUUUGUCACAGCAGUGAGAAAAGUAUCUAAUAAAAUAGCAAUAAUACGAAAUUUUAAUUUUUUGAAGAGAAAAUAACGUUGAAUUUUAUAUAAGAAAUACCUUUUUAGUGUAAGACAAUUUUUUAUGUUAUAUAUAACACUAAAAAACUAUUGCUUAUCUGAAAUUCAAAUUUAACUGGGUGUCCUAUAAUUUUAUUUGAAAAAAAUGGCAACUCCUAAUAGGAAUUUAUUGGCAAACCACACAAAGGGAAAAGUUGUUUUUUCCAAGCUGGGAUGCUGUACAGGUGAGGUUUUUUUUUUUUCUUUUUUGUAUUUUUUUUUGUCAAGUUGACACAGCUAGAGUCAAAUUGGAAGAGGAUUCUCGAUGGAGAAAAGACCUCUAUCAGAUUGCCUGUCUGUGGAGUCUUUUCUUGUUUAGGGGUCAAUAUGAGAGGGUCCAGCUCACUGUGGGCAUGUUACCCCUGGGCCAGUGGUCCCGGCUUGUACAAGAAAGCUGAGCAAGCCACAAGGAGCAAGCCAUAAGCACUAUUUGUCCAUGGUCUCUCUUCAGCUCCAGCCUCCAGGUUCCUGCCUUGAGUCCUUACCUUGACUUCCCUCUGUGAUGGGCAUGUAAGCCAAACGCACCCUUUCCUCCCUAAGCUGGUUUGGUCAUAACACUUAUCACUGCAAUAGAAAGCAAACUAGAAAAGAUACUGUAUUCAGAGAUGGAGGAGCCAUCUCUGAGUGGCACAGACCACAGUUGUCCAGACUGGGGAUGGAAGACAUGAUAUUCCUCCCAGGUGUGACAGAGCCCUGGAAAUAAUAGUUGGUAAUGACACAGUAGUGUUCUGGUUAUCCAACACCAAGCCACCUCAAAACUCCGCUAAAUAAACCAAUAAUUUAUUAUCUCUCACGCCUCCAUGGAGUUCAUGAGCUCAUCUGGGCAAUUAAUUUUUGCUUAGUCUCUCUCCUACCACUGCAGGUAGAUGUUAACUGGGGUUGUGAACACCUGAGCUCUCCAAUAUGGGCCCUGUCUUCCAUAUUCAUGGGAGUUUUACACCCCUUACUUAUUUUUCUUUUGUUUGUGUGUGUCAGCAGAGAGAGAGAGAGAGAGAGAGAGAGAGAGAGAGAGAGAGAGAGAGAGAGAGAGAGUGUAAGUGAGCAUGCACAUGUGUGCAUAUGGAGGCCAGAGGUCUUUUCAGGAGUCAUCCACCUUGUUUAUAGAAGCAGGGUCUCUAUCUGGUCUGUUGCUCACCAAGUAGUCUUCUGACUGGCCAGGGAUCUACAUGUCUUUACUUCCCAGCACUGGACUUAGAAGCCUUCACUGAUAAAACAUCACAUACUCCCUCCUCCCCGCAGCCCAGACUCUCCAGCACUGAGGACCGCCUGCUGCAGUGGUGACGGUGUUCCCAAAGGAACCUAAUCCGUUCUGUAUUUUUCCAGACCAGAUGACAAAUGUUCCUAGUGCUCCUUCAUAAAACCCCCACAAGAUUUCCAUCCUUUUCAGCAUCUUAGUUCCCAAACUGAGAAAAGAAUCUGGUUUUGACUAAUUGACACAGAAAAAAAAAAUCACAGAUUUUUUUUUUAAUUUACUGAACAUGCCAUUAUAUUCUGUAUCAGGGAUGUUUUCAUAUGUAUCUGAUGUGGAAGACUUUUAAGAAUUGACAGAACUGUUCAAAGUGCAGAGAAUUAGUGCCUGUGGAGUGCUCAGCCACUAAUGGAAUAUCUAUAUCACACCCCUCCCACCAAGGCUCAGGGACUGUCUUUGAUAAGGGGAUGGAAGAUUCUAAGAGCCAGAGGUCAGAAGGACUGGAGUGAAGCAGUUCCUGUCCUCUGGACAUGACAGAACUGUUGCACACAUCGACUCACAGCAGCUGCAGCUGCCUGCACGAGACCUGCACAAGAUCAAGCCACUCAAGGCCCAGCCUGGAGGAUGAAGGCGCUCAUGAAGCCCCACUUCUGGCUGCGGAGCUGUUGGCAGUUGACAGCUGCUGGGGAAUGGAGAAUCAGUUUUCUCUUUGAUAGUGUAGACCUUGGGAGGUCAACCAUGUUCCAGUUAAUGGCCUCAUACUCAGGACUAUGUAAACAACACAAAUUAGAACCAGCAGGCUAUUGGUGGGGGACAUGAAGUUGGGAGGGGGUGGUGAUUGGAGGUAGUCCUGGAAGGAGUGAGGGUUGAAGAGAGGGGUCAAUAUAGUCAAAAGACAUUGUAUUUAUGUGUGAAAUUCUAAAAAAAUUAAUAUAUAUAUUAUUAUAUAUAUGGAGAGAGAGAGAGAGGUGUGUACUUUUUCAGUUUGUAAAAUGCAGGAAUCAAGUGCAAAAGCUUGAUAAGUUCUUAUAUCUGUCAUCCAUGUAAUCACUUCUCAGGAGAUCCCUUAAUAGAAUAUUCUACUGCCUCCAAAGACCCUUGUAGCCCCCUCCACGCCAUCAGUCCUGACAAAGGUAAUUCCUGUUGUACCUUCUAUCACUAUUAGCAUUCUGUUGCUGUGAGAAAAUACCUGAGUUAAAUUAAAAACAAGAGAAUUA